rnacentral:misc_RNA from 1 species
GUAUAAGGUUCCGUCGCUUUUUCAGGGCGACGUACUAAAAAGACAUUCUGUAUAAGACGGGGUGUGAUGUCCACGGGCCCGAAGGCCCAUGGGGGUUUGUCGUGAGCUCGGGCGUGCACGUUGCCCCCCGAGGGAGACCAGCAGCAACCCUCGCUCGCGGAUUCGAUAAUGAUCCUUCCGCAGGUUCACCUACGGAAA